rnacentral:pre_miRNA from 9 species
UUUCGAUAGCGUAAAAGUUAACUCAAAUAUGUAUGGAGUUGGAAUGUUUACCCACGUUUGCUGCUAGGGGCCCUGUUCUAACUCCACACAAAUGUGAGUUAACUUUUACGCUAUCGA